CGAUUCUUGUUUCAUCGCGAAAUAUUUAUUCUUUUGGGAAUGAGGAUCACGAAUAGUUUGAACAAUUGUAGACCAUUUAGGAUAUAUACCAUCAGCUAAGUAAUAAUCCAUAUCGUAUUCUUUUCCUUGAAUAACAUAAUGGGCGGGAGGCGCAAUACCGCUAGCAAGAUUGGAAAAUAAAUGUGAUGACUCUAAAACAUUAAUAUCGUUAUUGGUGUCAGGCAAACCAAAAUAAGCAUGCCAUAUCCAAAGGUCAUAAUC
rnacentral:lncRNA from 1 species